CUGGUGUCAGCCGCCGCGGUAAUACCAGCACCUCGAGUGGUCAGGACGUUUAUUGGGCCUAAAGCAUCCGUAGCCGGCUUUGCAAGUCUUCGGUUAAAUCCACCUGCUCAACAGAUGGGCUGCUGGAGAUACUACAAAGCUAGGGAGUGGGAGAGGCAGACGGUAUUCAGUGGGUAGGGGUAAAAUCCUCUGAUCCAUUGAGGACCACCAGUGGCGAAGGCGGUCUGCCAGAACACGUUCGACGGUGAGGGAUGAAAGCUGGGGGAGCAAACCGGAUUAGAUACCCGGGUAGUCCCAGCUGUAAACGAUGCAAACUCGGUGAUGCAUUGGCUUAUUGCCAAUGCAGUGCCGCAGGGAAGCCGUUAAGUUUGCCGCCUGGGAAGUACGGACGCAAGUCUGAAACUUAAAG
rnacentral:rRNA from 2 species